GGGAAUAGGAACCGCACGCAGUUGCUUACAUAUUGUUUGGGAACUGCAGACGUGCCGACCGAAAACAAGCUCAGGGAAUUCAUCCGGAGACCGUGAGAGAUAUGAACGCUAUAGAUUGGCAGCCUACCUUACACCUCGCCAUGAAAAUAUCCUUUUUCACAAAAACAUAUUUCACAGUACAUACGUGGGCCACAGAUGGGAUAUGAACAGUCUUCAGUGCACACUGACCUGCUGAUCCUCCUAUGACAAGCUCCUCUCCUUUAAAUAUGCAGACUCAAUAAGAGCAUCAGACGUCUAAUUAAUCACCAUGACACCGGGAACUAACGAGACCUGGUUGCCACAGGAGCUCCACGCAGGGUGACAAAUACUGAUUGCUUUUCUUCAUUUUCUAUUUAAAGUUCCCAUAUAGUCCAGCAUUAAAAAUGCAUUAAAAUGUAAUAUGGAGCACCAGAUCGGUUUGGAUAGCACGUGCACUUGUGUAAACUCCACUGGGACUUCAGUGUGAUGCACCUGGGGGCCCCAUGGUCGGGUGUUCAUGCGGUUUCUUGCUUUUCCUCAUGCGUGGAGAUUAAGUAGGAAAGUGCAGAGCAAUGAAAGGAUUCCUUAAAGACUUGGGACUAAACCUGCUGUAUCCCUUAAGGGCUCUCAUGGAUUCACCACGGCAGAAUGAAAUCGAUUUAGACUGGAGUGGACUGUUUGGAUCUGAGCCCAUAGGUGGCUGGGAGUUCUCUAGAAUGUGUACUCAAACGUG